rnacentral:rRNA from 1 species
GAUGAACGCUGGCGGCGUGCCUAAUACAUGCAAGUCGAGCGAACAGAUGAGGAGCUUGCUCCUCUGACGUUAGCGGCGGACGGGUGAGUAACACGUGGAUAACCUACCUAUAAGACUGGGAUAACUUCGGGAAACCGGAGCUAAUACCGGAUAAUAUAUUGAACCGCAUGGUUCAAUAGUGAAAGACGGUUUUGCUGUCACUUAUAGAUGGAUCCGCGCCGCAUUAGCUAGUUGGUAAGGUAACGGCUUACCAAGGCAACGAUGCGUAGCCGACCUGAGAGGGUGAUCGGCCACACUGGAACUGAGACACGGUCCAGACGCCUACGGGAGGCAGCAGUAGGGAAUCGGCCGCAAUGGGCGAAAGCCUGACGGAGCAACGUCGCGUGAGUGAUGAAGGUCUUCGGAUCGUAAAACUCUGUUAUUAGGGAAGAACAAAUGUGUAAGUAACUAUGCACGUCUUGACGGUACCUAAUCAGAAAGCCACGGCUAACUACGUG